CGAGUGGCGAACGGGUGAGUAACACGUGGGUGAUCUGCCCUGCACUCUGGGAUAAGCCUGGGAAACUGGGUCUAAUACCGGAUAGGACCAUGCUUUAGUGUGUGUGGUGGAAAGUUUUUCGGUGUAGGAUGAGCUCGCGGCCUAUCAGCUUGUUGGUGGGGUAAUGGCCUACCAAGGCGGCGACGGGUAGCCGGACUGAGAGGUUGGUCGGCCACAUUGGGACUGAGAUACGGCCCAG
rnacentral:rRNA from 1 species